rnacentral:rRNA from 1 species
UACGUAGGCAGCAAGCGUUGUUCGGAGUUACUGGGCGUAAAGGGUGCGUAGGCGGCCUUAUAAGUAUGGUGUGAAAUCUCCCGGCUUAACUGGGAGGGUGCGCUAUAGACUGUGGGGCUAGAGUGUGGGAAGAGGAAAGUGGAAUUCCUGGUGUAGCGGUGAAAUGCGUAGAUAUCAGGAGGAACACCGGUGGUGUAAACGGCUUUCUGGACCAUAACUGACGCUGAGGCACGAAAGCGUGGGUAGCAAACAGG